GCCGUGGCCAUCUUACUGGGCAGCAUUGGAUGGUGUCCGAUCUCUAAUACUGCCUGGUAAUGAUGACGGC
rnacentral:pre_miRNA from 1 species